rnacentral:rRNA from 1 species
CGAAUAUGGUCUCCUGUCGCAUGACGGGAAGAUUAAAGAUGGGGAUUCUUCGGAACCUGUCGUCUGGAGAGGAGCCCGCGUACGAUCAGCUUGUUGGUGAGGUAACGGCUCACCAAGGCUUUGACCGUUAGCCGGCCUGAGAGGGUGAUCGGCCACACUGGGACUGAGACACUGCCCAGACUCCUACGGGAGGCUGCAGUCGAGGAUCAUUCGCAAUGCGCGAAAGCGUGACGAUGCGACGCUGCGUGUAGGAUGACGGCCUUCGGGUUGUAAACUACUGUCAUGAGGGAAAAACCAGCGAUGGGACAAUACCCCAUCGCUCUGAUGGUACCUCAAGAGGAAGCCACGGCUAACUCUGUGCCAGCAGCCGCGGUAAUACAGAGGUGGCUAGCGUUGUUCGGAUUUACUGGGCGUAAAGCGUGCGUAGGCGGUUCCGUGUGUCGGGUGUGAAAUCCCACGGCUUACCCGUGGAAUGGCACCCGAAACUGCGGGGCUAGAGUGCAGGAGGGGAGAGCGGAAUUCUUAGUGUAGCGGUGAAAUGCGUUGAUAUUAAGGAGAACACCGGCGGCGAAGGCGGCUCUCUGGAAUGUAACUGACGCUGAGGCACGAAAGUUGGGGGAGCAAACAGGAUUAGAUACCCUGGUAGUCCCAACCGUAAACGGUGUGAACUUGGUGUAGGGGGUAUUGACCCCCCCUGUGCCGGAGCUAACGCGUUAAGUUCACCGCCUGGGGAGUACGGCCGCAAGGCUAAAACUCAAAGAAAUUGACGGGGGCCCGCACAAGCGGAGGAGCAUGUGGCUUAAUUCGAUGCAACGCGAAGAACCUUACCUGGGCUUGACAUGGGGACCCUUCGGGGGUGGUAGCGAAAGUUACCUUUACCAUCACAGGUGCUGCAUGGCUGUCGUCAGUUCGUGCCGUGAGGUGUUUGGUUAAGUCCAGCAACGAACGCAACCCUUGUGACUAGUUACCAGCGUCGGUGAUGAGCCGGCAGGCACUCUAGUCAGACUGCCCGUACAAGCGGGAGGAAGGUGGGGAUGACGUCAAGUCAGUAUGGCCCUUACGCCCAGGGCUGCACACGUGCUACAAUGGUCGGUACAGAAGGAUGCAAACCGCAAGGUCGAGCAAAUCCCCAAAGCUGGCCCCAGUUCGGAUUGGAGUCUGCAACUCGACUCCAUGAAGUCGGAUUCGCUAGUAACGGCGUAUCAGCUACGACGCCGUGAAUACGUUCCCGGGCCUUGUACACACCGCCCGUCACAUCAUGAAAGCCGUCUGCACCCGAAGUCGCUGAGCCAACCCGCAAGGGAGGCAAGUGCCGAAGGUGUGGGUGGUGAUUGGGAUGAAGUUCGAACAAA